AUGGCGGACGCCAUGUUCAGGCUCCCAGAGAAGCUGGACGGGUUACUGUCCAGCCAUGGCCAAAUGCUGCCCCGGGGCGUGGAGGAGGAGAUACCUCUCAUCAAGCAAGAUCUGGAGAAGAUGGUUGCCAUUCUCCAGCAGCACGAUGACUCCGGAGCAGAGGACUGUGCUAUGACGGCCAAGUGCCUGGCCAAGGAGGUGCGCGAGCUCUCAUACGACAUGGAGGACAGCGUCGACCAGUACGAGCAGGCCGCCACCACCAGUAGAUGGAUAGCUCCCCGCCUUAAAAAGCACAAGUUUGCUCGUCGUAGAGUUACACGGCUUCCGGAGAAACUCAGGUGGCGGCUAUGGAUGGCCAACAAGAUGAGGGAGUUCAGCUUGCGCUCGCAGGAGGCGCUUCAGCGGUACAGCUUGUUUAACCACCAUGGUGACAAUGGCAUCAGAGCUGCUGCCAUUGGUGGCACUGGCAGCAGCACUCCUCCUAGACAUGAUACGUGUUUUGGCUCUUGGUACCCCACGCCGUAUGAGGAGCUUGUUGGUAUAGGUGAACAUGUGAAUAAUCUUGAAGCGUGGCUGGGUAGGGAUGGAGAGCAGAGGCUCAAGGUGGUGACUGUUGUUGGAUCUGGAGGGAUUGGUAAGAGCACGCUUGUCAAAGAGCUGUACCGUAGAAUCAGAGGGCAAUUCGAGUGCCGGGCAUUUGUGAGGACGUCCCGGAAGCCUGACAUCAGGAGGCUUCUCAUCAGCAUGCUCUCACAAGUCCGGCCACACCAAACCUCUCACACUUGGAAAUUGCAUAGUCUAAUUGCCGACAUCAGGACACAUCUCCAAGAUAAGAGGUACUUGAUUGUAAUUGAUGAUGUAUGGGCUACGCAAACUUGGGAUAUAGUUAGCCGUGCCUUGCCAGAUGGUAAUCUUUGCAGUGGAGUACUUAUAACUACAGAAAUAGAUGAUGUAGCUCUGAAAUGUGGUGGUUAUGACUCUAAGUAUGUUCUUCCGAUGAAACCACUUGGUCACGAUGAUUCAAGCAAAUUAUUUUUCAGAACAGCUUUUGGUCCACAAUAUGAAUGUCCUCCAGAACUCAGUGAUGUUGCAAAUAAUAUAAUAAGGAAAUGUGCUGGUUUCCCAUUAGCAGUGGUUACUGUUGCUGGUCUUUUAGUAAACCAGAUGGGCAAACCAGAGCAGUGGGAUUUUGUGAAUAAAUCCUUAGGUUAUGGUUUGAGGAAAAAUCCUGCUCCAGAGGGGAUGAAACAAGUACUAAACCUUAGUUACAACAAUCUUCGUCUGCAUUUGAAGGCAUGCCUGAUGUAUCUCAGUAUAUAUGAAGAGGACUACAUAAUUCAGAAGAAUGAUUUGGUAAAGCAAUGGAUAGCUGAAGGAUUUAUCCAUGCGACAGAAGAGAAAGAUAUGGUGGAAAUAUCAAGGAUAUGUUUUGAUGAGCUCAUCAGUAGCAGAAUGAUCGAACCUGUACAUAUAAAUGACACCGGUGAUGUUUUGUCUUGCACAGUGCAUCACAUGGUACUUGAUUUUAUUACACACAAGUCCUUGGAAGAGAAUUUCGUCACUGCAAUAGAUCAUUGUCAGACAACUGCACGACUCGCAGACAAAGUUCGUCGGCUGUCUCUUCACUUUGGUAAUGCAGAAGCGACGCCACCAACAAAUAUGAGACUAUCACAAGUUCGCACUCUCGCAUAUUUCGGGGUAAUCAAGUGUUUGCCUUCCAUUGUGGAGUUUGGACUUCUUCAAAUUCUAAUCCUGCAUCUUUGGGGCGAUGAUGAUAGCAUCAGUUUUGAUCUCACUGGAAUAUCUGAGCUUUUUCGGCUGAGAUAUUUACACGUCACAUGUAAUGCCACCUUGGAAGUACCACAAACUCAGAUACGAGGUCUACGAUAUUUGGAGACACUGAAAAUAGAUGCAAGAGUAAGUGCUGUUCCAUCGGACAUUGUUCAUUUGCCGGGCUUAUUGCACCUAAGUCUUCCUGUUGAGAUAAAUCUGCCCAAUGGUAUUGGCCGCAUGACAUCACUUUGCACACUUGAAUGUUUUGAUAUAAGUGUUAACUCAGUAGAGAAUGUGCACAGCCUUGGUGAGCUGACAAAUCUUCAUGAUCUUCGACUCACCUGUUCUACAGUACAUUCUUGUUAUCUAACGAGCAAAAUGGAUAGUAUGUGUUCCAUUCUGACGAAACUCAGCAACCUCAGGUCUCUAACUCUGGAGCCUUCAAGUAUUCUGGAUGUUGGACCUUCAAGCAUGAGCAUUUCCUGUGACGGGUUGAGCAGUGUAUCCUCUCCUCCAGCGUGUCUUCAGACGUUUGAGUGGUUGCCGCGCAUUUGCACCUUCUCCAGCCUCCCCAAGUGGAUUGGACGUCUCAGCAAGCUCUGCAUUUUAAAGAUUGGGGUUAGGAAACUAGCGAACAAUGAUUUUGAUAUUCUCAGAGGAUUGCCUGCACUCACAGUUUUGUCGCUGCAUAUCCGAACAAAGCCUGCAAAAAGGAUUCUCUUCAAUAAGAUAGGAUUCUCAGUUCUCAAGUACUUCAAGUUCAGGUGCCGUGCACCUUGGCUGGAAUUUGAGGUGGACGCAAUGCCUAAUCUUUUGAAACUCAAGCUACGUUUUGAUGCCCAUGGAGUAGAUCAACAUGGUACUAUACCUGUUGGCAUCGUGCACUUAACAGGCCUGAAGGAAAUGUCUGCAAAAAUUGGGGGUGCUGGUGCCAAUGACCCUGAUAGAAGGGCUGCAGAAUCAGCUUUGAUUGAUGCUAUUAAGAUGCAUCCGGCAUGUCCCACCUUGAGCAUACAUUGUUUAGAUGCGAUGUUCAGUGGUGAAGAUGAUGAUAUCAAGAAGGAAGACUCAAUUGAACACAUGACUCUGCAAAAGCAAUACGAUGUCAAGAAGGAAGACUCAAUUGAACACAUGACUCUGCAAAAACAAUAUGGUAUCAAGAAGGAAGACUCAAUUGAACACACGACUCUGCAAGAACAAUAUGAUAUCAAGAACGAAGACUUAAUUGAGCACAUGACACUGCAAAUACAAAAUGAUAUCAAGAAGGAAGACUCCUAUAAACAGCACGGAUUUCUUCAAAAGGACUACAGGAAGACCCUGCCCAAGUGGAGCACACAGGUAAGGGUGAGCUCCUUGCAGGAUAUUGAGGGUCACGAUGAUGGCUUCAGCUGGAGGAAGUAUGGUCAGAAGGAUAUCCUCGGCUCCAGGAACCCAAGAGGUUACUACCGAUGCACGCACCAUAACACACGGGGCUGCCAAGCAUUGAAGCAGCUGCAGGCCACAGAUGGCGACCCACUCUUAUUUAAUGCCAUCUAUGUCGGGAACCACACAUGCACUCAGGGCGCGAACUCGCAGCCACAGCCUGGGUAUGAGCAGAGCUCCAUCUCUGUGGGGGACAAGGCUGAGGGGAGCAUUCAGAGGCUUGAGAAGAUGCCGCCACGGAGGUCCAAGCGAAGCAUACAGGUGAGGGUGAGGUCCAUGCAGGACGACUAUCCGGCAGAUGACGGCUAUAGCUGGAGUAAGUACGGCCAGAAGGACAUUCUCGGGUCCAAGCACCCAAGAGGUUACUACCGGUGCGUGCACAGGCCCGAAAAGGGCUGCGAGGCAACCAAGCAGGUGCAGCGAUCGGACAGCGACACACAGCUCUUUGACGUCGUGUACCACGGGGAGCACACAUGCGCUGAGAAUGUGCAUUCGCGGGGUGAGAGUGCGCGUUCACUGCCGCAUCAUGUCUCUGUCUCCGCGGGGGUCAUACCUCCAGCGACGUCUGAGAGCCAGGUUACCUAUGAGGCGGUCAGCAGCGGAAGUACAGCCGGGAUCCACUUCAUGUCCCCGGCAACGUCUGCGGGUAGCCAGGUUACCUACGAGAGUGGCAGCAGAAGUACGACAACGGGUCGAUUCAUCUCCCCGGGGAUGUCAGAGAGCCAGGUUGCCUACGCCGAAUUUUGGACUUGGCCCAAUAAUGUUGACUUUAUGCUGAACUCCCCGAUAAACGAAAGGCUGGACCUGAAUGCUGAUUUUGUGGAUGAAACUGGCCCUUCUGACUUUGACUGA
rnacentral:rRNA from 1 species